AUAGCAUAAGUCUAUGAAGAACAGCAAUGUUCCUUCCGCAGAGUACACUUGCAGAAGCCUUAGUGGCCUGAAAGGGUGACACCAACGACUCUAAACAAGUAGGUGGAUUAAACGCUAGUCUCUCUCAUGAGGCAACACUAUCAAAUUGCGGGAAGAUCCUGUCAUGUCCACAUCACCGCGGCUCACCGAAAGGUGCAGUGCAGCACCAGGCUAACAACCUUGGGUAAGGUAACAGCAUGUGGAAUAGGGA
rnacentral:misc_RNA from 1 species